rnacentral:rRNA from 1 species
UACAGAGGGUGCGAGCGUUGUCCGGGAAUCACUGGGCGUAAAGGGCGCGUAGGCGGUCUCUUAAGCGUGUGGUGAAAGCCCGGGGCUCAACUCCGGGUCGGGCCUGCGAACUGGGGGGACUGGGAGCGUAUCAGAGGCGGGGCGGGAAUUCCGGGGUGUAGCGGGUGGGAAUGCGUAGAGAUCCGGGAAAGAACACCGGGUGG